GUGAUGACAAGCCUGGGACUGCUUCAUGGCUUGUGUUUCAUGGCAGAGUGGUGGGUGCUCCUGUGCCACUUAGAUACUCCAGGAGCAUGCUGAGACUUAGUCAAACCUCCUGAAGACAUUUGCAAGUUGUGCAUGGGGAGUCUGGGAUGUUUCCCCCCCCUCCCAAUUAUUGGCUGUCUCAUCUCUGUCAGUGCAAAUCUGAGGGCUUCAGGACACAUUUCAUGUCGAGGCGCCGUGACUGAUGCUAACCUUAAAAUCAAUAUGUGAAAAGUUGGUGGUUGGAGGUGCCGAUAGGGUGAUUUAAUGAGCCUGCAGUGCAGCACAGGUGCAGCUGAUGUGGUCUGGGAUCUGAUGUGUAUCCUGCUGUGGAUCUGAGCCCCCCUGCCAGUGCAUCCUUCUGGGGGUUCCUCCCACGGGCCCUCGGCCCCGAAGGCAGCCAGCAGAGGAGUUUCUUGACGCUUGAUUGCAGCUGACAAGUAAGCUGUGGAACCAGCUCACUG